CAGAACACUUCAGCCUCCAGCACUGCACAGGUAAAAACGGUUAGAUACAGGUAGGAACAGACAGGAACAGGUAGGAACAGAUAGAUACAGGUAGGAACAGGUAGAUACAGGUAGGAACAGACAGGAACAGGUAGGAACAGAUAGAUACAGGUAGGAACAGGUAGAUACAGGUAGGAACAGACAGGAACAGGUAGGAACAGAUAGAUACAGGUAGGAACAGGUAGAUACAGGUAGGAACAGACAGGAACAGGUAGGAACAGAUAGAUACAGGUAGGAACAGGUAGAUACAGGUAGGAACAGACAGGAACAGGUAGGAACAGAUAGAUACAGGUAGGAACAGAUAGAUACAGGUAGGAACAGGUAGAUACAGGUAGGAACAGACACAGACAGAUACAGGUAGGAACAGGAAGGUACAGGUAGAUACAGCUAGGAACUAGGGAUGGGAAUUUCGACUAAUUUCCGAACCGACUAGUUGCAAAUUUUAUUUGCGACUAGUCGGUUCGGAAAACUUGCAAUUUAACCCUUUAAGCGCCAAAGUCGCAAUAUUGCCACAAGCAACAUUGGUGAACAUAACAAGUCAUAGCUUCAAAUAUACUGCCUCGUGUGCCUCAUGUACUGCACACCAGGAGAUGGCGGACAUCUGGAACUUCAAUCUGAGCAUCAGUUGUGGGCGUGUUUUCAUUCAAAGUUUUGGAGUUUACAGAGUUUGAAAACCGAGGAGACGAGACUCGCCGUCGGAGCGUAUCAGAGCGCAAGACGGCACAUUUUAGAGCGAGAAAACUCACCAUACCGAGAGGUCUGCUCAACACUGACAAAGUACUUUGUCAAGUAAUGGCUUACUCAUAUUCUGAAGAGGAAUAUUCACCCUCUGAUGAAGAUGUUCAGUCGUCCACUGAGACAGAAAGUGCCGCUGCGUCUGUGCGUAACGGCAGCGGGUCGGUGCGCCAUGACAGUCCACGAGCAGCACAUAGUGGAGCCGAUGCUUUGCUUCGGGGGGCAGGAAGGGACGUGGUGGGUGUAGCUGGAGUGGUCAGAACACCGCUAAUGAUGAGGGGGAUAGCGGGGGUUGAAAAAAAAC